CCCACGCAGCUUUCAGUUAUGAUCUGCAAAGUGCAAAUCGGCAAGCCCGCCCCUGACUUUAAAGCCACCGCCGUGAUGGAUGGCGCCUUUAAGGAGGUGAAGCUUUCGGACACAAAGGGAAGUACGUGGUCCUCUUUUUCUACCCGCUGGACUUCACUUUUGUGUGCCCCACGGAGAUCAUUGCUUUCAGCGAUCAUGCUGAGGCCUUCCACAAGCUGGGCUGCGAAGUGCUGGGGGUCUCUGUGGACUCUCAGUUCACCCACCUGGCUUGGAUCAACACCCCCCGGGAGAAGGGAGGCCUGGGCCCCCUGAACAUCCCCCUGCUUGCUGAUGUGUCUAGAAGCUUGUCUCACGACUAUGGCGUGCUGAAAGACGAUGAAGGCAUUGCCUACAGGGGCCUCUUUAUUAUCGACGGCAAGGGUGCCCUUCGCCAGAUCACUAUUAACGAUCUGCCUGUGGGGCGGUCUGUGGAUGAGGCUCUGCGGCUGGUCCAGGCCUUCCAAUACACCGACGAGCACGGGGAAGUCUGUCCCGCUGGCUGGAAGCCUGGCAGCGACACAAUCAAGCCCAACGUGGAUGACAGCAAGGAGUACUUCUACAAACACAACUAGGCUGGU